CAUGCACAAUUUAGAGAAGUCAAUCAGCCUACAUUUGAUGUCUUUGGACUGGGGGACGAUAUCGGAAUACCCAGAGGAAAACCCAGAAGCACGGGGAGUACAGACAAGCUCCGCACACAAAGGGUGGAGUUGGGAAUCGAACUGCCAACCCUGGAAGUGUGAAGCAAACCUGAUAACCACCAUGCAGGACUAAAUUUGCAUUUCCCAGGCAUUGCUUCAUCUUCGACAUAACAUCAGUAUACUCCAGACAGAGCAAGUAUGAAAUGGGACAGAAAGGCAACUCAUUAAGAGACUACAAUUUAACCAGCAGUCAGUUCCAAGCUGCUGCUCUGCACUGCUAAAUCCUGAUUUAUAACAGCGGCAUCGUCUGACAAUCACCCUACACAUAAGUUAAAGAUUACGAGUGUGCUGUGAUUUCAGCUAAAUUUACGUGUAAAAACUCAAGGGUCGUGGGGAACCUGGAGCCUAUCCCAGGACACUCGGGGCACAAGACAUGGGACACCCUGGACGGUGUGCCAUUCCAUCGAAGGCACAAUCACACACAUUCACACAACCAUUAACACACUACAGACAAUUUAGAGAUGCCAAUCAGCCUACGGCACAUGUCUUUGGACUGGGGGACGAAAACAGAGUACCCCAAGGAAACCCUUGAUGCACGGAGAGAGCAUCCAAACUCCUGUUAUUGCGAGGCAACAUGCUAACCACUAAGCCACCAUAUGGUAAUACCCAAUAACGGAAAUGUAAACAUUAGAAAUGUUAGCAUGAACAAAAUCUGACAAUAAAACCUCAGUUAGAUAUCACCUUCAGUGAGAGAUGCUUGACCAAAGACAAAAUUCCAGGAGUCUUUUGGGUACAAAUCAAUCAUGGUGAUCCCAACAAUGCAAAAUGCAUCUUUUGGCUUCCUCUGUUUCAAAAACGCCAAUAGGUCUCCUAUGAAAAGGAAAGAAAAUGCUCACCAAAGAGCAAAGCUCCACUUUUCAUUCAUCUGAACACUGUCUGCCCUCUGCAGGGCACUGGGAUUAACUGGCCCAAAUUCUUCUAACACUUUCCAAGCAACCACAAUAAAUUUGCUGUAUUGUAUGUAAUAAUACUCACCAGCAUGAAGCUGCAGGUUAUUUGUGUUGCUGUUGACACGAAAUGUGCAGCUGCUGGCUGCAACAGUCACUGCUGGUAGGAGUUUGACUGUCAGGCCGUUGUAAAAUGCCUCACAGUACUCCCUCAGCCACUCCACAUACUGCUCAGUGAUCCCAGCUCCAUCCCCAAAGGAUCCUGUGGACCGUAGAAACACAUUACAAAGCAACUUAUUCUGUAUACAACAUUGCAUCAUACGAGGACUUUGACUAACCAAUUGUUUGAAUAUAAAUGGUCUUGUGGCCAGUGUCGGGUGUGCUGCGGUAUGGGUUGCUGUAGAAGCUCUGAAAGUCCUGAGGAGCUUCGGGGUGGGCAGAAAUCCAGUCAGAAUCAGAGUGAACGGUGAUGGCAGUGAAAAGCAAACUGCCAGGGAGGAGACCCGCAUCAAGAAAACACUUUUCCUCUCUGCUGUACUGCUCAUACGCCUCGAUGAGAUCCUUACGAGUGGAGAGGAGAACUGAGCGCAGUUUCUCCACAGGGUGUUCUAGG